AGUAGUAGUUGCCGUUCUGUACGCAGCCGGCUGAGCUCCUCGGGCGCCCGUCCUGCAUACCCGGACCUUCUGGGCUGUGCCUAGCGAGGGCCCCUUCCCACUCUAGUUCCUCCCCCAGCCCCUCUCUUCUGGGGCGUCACCAGUUUCUCUCCGGGGAACUUCGCCACUUGUUUCUCAGGAGGUGACUGCGUCCUGCUAAUGAGUCAAGGCAGCGACUUUCCUUUGUCCCCAUAUUUUUCUCUUCCUCUCUCUUGGGACUCUGCUCAGGGGUUACGCCCGCUCUCGCUUGUGGUGAGGCUUCCUCAUAGCCUCGCAACUCUUAAAAGAAAACCCUGUGUCCAGGGCACCAAGAAGCACCUACUAAACCAAACCUAACAGACUGGCGUUUUCAUACCGCGACCCUUUCUCACUAUAAAUGUCACGCUUCUCAUUCUAGAAAACAGAGGAGUCGGAGUCUGGGGGUAGGGGUCAACAACCGUGCAAACAGCAUCCAAAGAUAUCCAUGGCUUACAAUAUCUAAAAUAUGAUAGAUUUACAAAUUUGGCAUCGCACUGACUAUAGUUUUAGGUUUGGCUUUAGUCAAGUGAGCAUUUCCUCCUCUCUUUAAAUAUUCUCUAUUUUUUU
rnacentral:lncRNA from 1 species